rnacentral:rRNA from 1 species
UACAGAGGGGGCAAGCGUUGUUCGGAAUUACUGGGCGUAAAGGGCGCGUAGGCGGCCCGCUAAGUCGAACGUGAAAUCCCCAGGCUCAACCUGGGAACUGCGUCCGAUACUGGCAGGCUUGAAUCCGGGAGAGGGAUGUGGAAUUCCAGGUGUAGCAGUGAAAUGCGUAGAUAUUACAAGGAACACCAAUGGCGAAGGCAGCUUGCUGGGCUACUCCUGACACUGAGGUACGAAAGCGUGGGGAGCGAACAGG